rnacentral:rRNA from 1 species
UACGUAGGGUGCGAGCGUUAAUCGGAAUUACUGGGCGUAAAGUGUGCGCAGGCGGCCGCGCAAGUCGAGUGUGAAAGCCCCGAGCUUAACUUGGGAAUUGCGCUCGAAACUACGUGGCUGGAGUGUGGCAGAGGAAGGUGGAAUUCCACGUGUAGCGGUGAAAUGCGUAGAUAUGUGGAGGAACACCGAUGGCGAAGGCAGCCUUCUGGGCCAACACUGACGCUCAUGCACGAAAGCGUGGGGAGCAAACAGG